rnacentral:rRNA from 1 species
UGAUGGGGGAAAAAUCGUAACAGGGUCUCCGUUGGUGAACCAGCGGAGGGAUCAUUACCGAGUUUACAACUCCCAAACCCCUGUGAACAUACCUAUACGUUGCCUCGGCGGAUCAGCCCGCGCCCCGUAAAACGGGACGGCCCGCCCGAGGACCCCUAAACUCUGUUUUUAGUGGAACUUCUGAGUAAAACAAACAAAUAAAUCAAAACUUUUCAACAACGGAUCUCUUGGUUCUGGCAUCGAUGAAGAACGCAGCAAAAUGCGAUAAGUAAUGUGAAUUGCAGAAUUCAGUGAAUCAUCGAAUCUUUGAACGCACAUUUGCGCCCGCCAGUAUUCUGGCGGGCAUGCCUGUUCGAGCGUCAUUUCAACCCUCAAGCUCAGCUUGGUGUUGGGACUCGCGGUAACCCGCGUUCCCCAAAUCGAAUUGGCGGUCACGUCGAGCUUCCAUAGCGUAGUAAUCAUACACCUCGUUACUGGUAAUCGUCGCGGCCACGCCGUAAAACCCCAACUU